UAGCUCAGCUGGAUAGAGUACUCGGCUACGAACCGAGCGGUCGGAGGUUCGAAUCCU
rnacentral:tRNA from 17 species